AUUGAACGCUGGCGGCAGGCCUAACACAUGCAAGUCGAACGGUAGCACAGAGAGCUUGCUCUCGGGUGACGAGUGGCGGACGGGUGAGUAAUGUCUGGGAAACUGCCCGAUGGAGGGGGAUAACUACUGGAAACGGUAGCUAAUACCGCAUAACGUCGCAAGACCAAAGUGGGGGACCUUCGGGCCUCACACCAUCGGAUGUGCCCAGAUGGGAUUAGCUAGUAGGUGGGGUAAUGGCUCACCUAGGCGACGAUCCCUAGCUGGUCUGAGAGGAUGAACAGCCACACUGGAACUGAGACACGGUCCAGACUCCUACGGGAGGCAGCAGUGGGGAAUAUUGCACAAUGGGCGCAAGCCUGAUGCAGCCAUGCCGCGUGUAUGAAGAAGGCCUUCGGGUUGUAAAGUACUUUCAGCGGGGAGGAAGGCGGUGAAGUUAACAGCUUCACCGAUUGACGUUACCCGCAGAAGAAGCACCGGCUAACUCCGUGCCAGCCGCCGCUGUAACAC
rnacentral:rRNA from 1 species